UGGAAGAUCACUUGAGCCCAGGAGUUCGACACCACCCUGGGCAACAUUGGCUUCUCAACCUCUGAGUUUGGUUCCCCUGUGAUUCUAUAAUCUACUCCAUAUGCAUUCAACAAAACUCGUGUGAGUCAAUUGCCCAGGCUGGAGUACAGUGGCUAUUCACAGGCACCAUCCCACUACUGAUCAGCACGGGAGUUUUGACCUGCUCUGUUUCCAACCUUGGCCAGUUUACCCCUUCUUAGGCAAUCUGGUGGUUCCCUGCUCCCGGGAGGUCAUCAUAUUGAUGCUGAACUUAGCGCAGACGCCCAGGCAACAUAGUGCACUGCAGCCCAGAACUCCUGGCCUCAAGCGAUCCUCCUGCCUCAGCCUCCUGAGUAGCUGGGACUACAGGCACGCGCCACCACACCUGGCCAGUUUACUAGUUUCUAACAAAGCUAAACAUUGUCUUAACGUAUAAUCUAACAGUCACACUCUUAGGUAUUUACUCAAACAAGUUGAAAACUUAUGCCCAAACAAAAACCUGCACACAGAUGUUUAUCAUGGUUUUUAAUUGAUUAUACUGCAAAAGCCCUUUUCCAAAUAAGGUCACAUACACAGAUUCCAAGGGUGAAAGCUUCAGCAUAUCUUUCUGGAGGAUACAAGUCAAUCCUUAAGAAUAGGUUAAUGGGCCAGGUGUGGUGGCUCACACCCGUAAUCCCAGCACUUUGGGAGGCCGAGACAGGCAGAUCACCUAAGGUCAGGAGUUUGAGACCAGCCUGGCCAACAUGGCAAAACCCUGUCUCUAUUAAAAAUAAAAAAUUAGCUAGGCAUGGUGGCACACACCAAUAAUCUCAGCU
rnacentral:lncRNA from 1 species